GCGACACAGUCCUCGCGCCUCUCAGACCUACGACUCUCUCUCUCUUGUCUAAAAAUGCUAUUAAAUGUUGCAUAUUGCAGAGUUGAAGGAAAACUAAACUAAAUAUUGUUAAAUUGUGUCGCCUCGUAAAUAUAUACUGUAUUAAAAAGAAGCAUUGAAAGGGAAAACUAAACUAAAUACUGUGUUUCUCCUAUGACCUCUAAAAUAUUGCUUAGAAAAAUAAUAUUGAGGAGAAAACUAAACUAAAUAUUGUCAUUCUCCAGAGCUGGCGGUUACAGAGAGAGAGAGAGAGAGAGAGAGAGAGAGAGAGAGAGAGAGAGAGAGAGAGAGAGAGAGAGAGAGAGAGAGAGAGAGAGAGAGAGAGAGAGAGAAUUAUGUCUUCUUUACUUAACCCACAAUUGAGGUUUUGGAUGUGCUAUUUUACACACACACACACACACACACACACACACACACACACACACACACACACACACACACUGGUCCCCUCACAAACACUCAUACCCUCUAUAAGUCAAAUGUCUUAAUCUACAUGGACAGUUCACCAGUUAACAAGAUGGUGGAGGAAAACAAUAAAUACAUCUAUUGCUCUGUAUAUUAAGUCUGUAGUGUUAGAUUGACUGACUUCUCUCUCCCUCCCUCUCUCUCUCUCAGUUACUGUCGUGCUCUGUAUGUGUGUGAAUAUGUGUGUUAUGGUGAUGGAUAUAGUGAAGCCACUCAUUGGUACCAUAACUCCAUCAAUUUCAAAUACUCUACCACUCACAGUAAAUGAUACAGAGAUGCAACACCCUUAAAAAUAAAUAAAAUAAUGAUAAUAAUAAUAAUACGUCACUACGGUCUAUCAUGGCAGAAAGGUCCACCCUCCAUGGCUUAUGACAGCAAUCAAUGGCAGCGGUGUGAAAUGCAGAAAACGGGGAAAAACGGCGUCGUGCAGCGUUGCGUGUUGGCAGCGGCAGGACACAGUGAAGGGCUGCCUCACGUGCCACCGUUAAACAUUAGGAACUCGUGCACCUCAGGCUAUUGCUGCUGCUGCUGCUGCUGCUACUGUGCCUCGACAUCUAGAGGUGAUCAAUUAUUAGUGACAACCCCAGUGAAGAUUCUAACCGUCACUGGGGUGUUUGUUAAGUGUGCUUGUUUCUGCUACACACUGAACGGUCUCACACGCAAACACAUUUUUCAGGUGUUGGCUUAGUAACACUCCUCAGCAUGCUAGUCUUGUGAAGGUUCAGUUAUUAAGUGUUACUGUGACUCCCACAAAACUCUCUUCACCAGUGUUGCAGAGAAUGUUUUCUAAAGUGAGUUAGUCACCCUGUAACACAGCAUCUCGAGGAGGUGUCAGCUGGCCAACACUGGGCAGUAUACGAGCAAAACUCCCUCAAAAAUAUGACUUUCUUGUGUGUGUGUGUGUGUGUGUGUGUGUGUGUGUGUGUGUGUGUGUGUGUGUGUGUGUGUGUGUGUGU